UUGGCUGCCAAAGGCCUGACGUCAGUCCUACCGCACCGGGCUUGGCGCAGCGGCGGGCGUGAGGGGCUGGGCAUGGCGGGCGGGGGGAGAAGGGCGCGGGAGCGGGAUCCGUGCCCGCCGAAGCCGGUGACACACCGCGGAGCGCUGACAGGCGCUGCGAGGGACAAAAUGUAGAACCCAAAAGGAAGAAAAGACACUGACUGCCAGCUUUGUGAAGGAACCUGUGUUUCUGAGCCUGUCUUGGAAAAUUUGACAUGCAGUAUGUUCCUGUUGGUAAUGUUAAAUGUGAGAGGGACUUCAACUGCCAUGUGCUAGGGUUCAAAAUCAAAUGAAUGAACAUAAUACAGAAAGAUGAAAGACUAUUCACCACUGCCAUGACAGCAAGCUGCAUGUGCACAAAUGACAAAGUUACCACAAAAUAUGGAAUGUGACUUAACACUACUCGUAUUUCAUUGUACCCUGUAUGCAAAUUGCUGAAUUAACUGUGGCAGAAAAGAGAAAGCUUGGGGGCUGGUUUUGGCCUUA